CCUACGGGAGGCAGCAGUAGGGAAUCUUCCACAAUGGGCGAAAGCCUGAUGGAGCAACGCCGCGUGGGUGAAGAAGGUCUUCGGAUCAUAAAACCCUGUUGUUAGAGAAGAAAGUGCGUGAGAGUAACUGUUCACGUUUCGACGGUAUCUAACCAGAAAGCCACGGCUAACUACGUGCCAGCAGCCGCGGUAAUACGUAGGUGGCAAGCGUUAUCCGGAUUUAUUGGGCGUAAAGGGAACGCAGGCGGUCUUUUAAGUCUGAUGUGAAAGCCUUCGGCUUAACCGGAGUAGUGCAUUGGAAACUGGGAGACGUGAGUGCAGAAGAGGAGAGUGGAACUCCAUGUGUAGCGGUGAAAUGCGUAGAUAUAUGGAAGAACACCAGUGGCGAAGGCGGCUCUCUGGUCUGUAACUGACGCUGAGGUUCGAAAGCGUGGGUAGCAAACAGGAUUAGAUACCCUGGUAGUC
rnacentral:rRNA from 1 species